rnacentral:rRNA from 1 species
UAGUCCACGCUGUAAACGAUGGUUACUAGCUGUUUGGACUUCGGUCUGAGUGGCUAAGCGAAAGUGAUAAGUAACCCACCUGGGGAGUACGUUCGCAAGAAUGAAACUCAAAGGAAUUGACGGGGGCCCGCACAAGCGGUGGAGCAUGUGGUUUAAUUCGAUGAUACGCGAGGAACCUUACCAGGGCUUAAAUGUAGAAUGACAGUUGUGGAAACACAUCUUUCUUCGGACAUUCUACAAGGUGCUGUAUGGUUGUCGUCAGCUCGUGCCGUGAGGUGUCAGGUUAAGUCCUAUAACGAGCGCAACCCCUACCGUUAGUUGCCAGCAUGUAAUGAUGGGGACUCUAACGGGACUGCCGGUGCAAACCGUGAGGAAGGUGGGGACGACGUCAAAUCAUCACGGCCCUUACGUCCUGGGCCACACACGUGCUACAAUGGCCGGUACAGAGGGAAGCCACCACGUAAGUGGGCGCGGAUCUAUAAAACCGGUCACAGUUCGGAUCGGGGUCUGCAACUCGA